CCCCCUUGCGCCACCGCAAAGGACGAAAAUCUGGGGCAUCCACAAAUCUCAACCAAACUCAGCCAAGGUGCUGUUGCAAAGGAAGAACCAAGCAGAUGUGAAACAGAUGAUAUAGGAUGAUUAACACAGACGUGGCGAUAUAUGGACGAUGAAAUUCGAAAUAUCGUGUCGUAGAUCGUAUCCGUCAAUUGGAAGUGAUAAUUAAGUGAUGACUAUGACGCUGUUAAGCGUAUGGAUAUGGAGGUGACCACAUACGGCAAUUUCACAGCCUGAAGGAGGUUACAACGGGAUAAAGAAACGCGUUGCGCAAUGGUUUUGAUGCAAAGAAGGACGAUCGAAGCAGCAGUCAUUCAAACGCCGACUUCUGAAGCUUUGCUCUUAAUAGGCCGUCCAUCGCAGAAAGCGCAUCUUGUACGGACUGCGGUGAAUAAUGGUAAUCAUCUGGAGCUUCAUAGGGAGCAGAACUUAUCUCCAGAGCAACUCAGGGACUCGAGAUGUGUCAAUCUCACUAUCAGAGGCAUAGUACAUGGAAACGAAUGAAAGGUUGAGCCUCUACUUUGGAUACGACUACAGCUUCAGCUACACAGAAGCUUGAAAUUUCGAAAGCAAAUUUAGAGCACAACUUUGCUGUAGCUGAUCCCAUGGACGACAUCUUAAUCGUAGUGGAAUUUUUGAUCCGUUAUGGUUGUACAUUCAAUGAAAGAGUUCUGAGAAAUAGCAAUAUGGAAUUGCCCAUAAGGGAAAACGGGUUUGUGAGCAAGAUUUUCACAUCGAACAAAAAAAUGUCAAGAGAAAGACGCGGAGUCCAGACAGAAACUGAUACAAGGAUCGAUAAGGUUAACAUGCUGGACUUUGAAACCGAGAUAGCCCAAGAGAUAGUUCGAGCUUAAAGCUGAAUAGAAAAGGUGUGAAAAAGCCAGUUUACGUCCAAAAGAAAGUGACAAAACAUUACAAUUUUCUCAGGAAAGAAAAACACUCCAAGUGUAAAAAUAUGAAUAUAUUUUACAUUUUUGGACCCCUAAUUCUAUCAGAAAUAUUUGGUUUGAUGCCAAAUUUUUAAUGCUGUUCCAUAGUGUAACCAUCUGAAAGCUGUACAGAAUCCGUUGAAAUAAACUUAGUAUUAUUCUUGGAA
rnacentral:sRNA from 15 species